UUACAACCUUGCCUGAUCUGUGUUUUUUUACUUUGCGACAUGAGUCCCCAUCUGAUUUGUCUCGCGCAUGCGCUCUCUGCAUAAUUAAAAUUCAUUUCAUGAUGCUGCCCAAUUUGUUCUGCGCAUAUCUAAUGUUUUACGACACACGUCACUCGUCAGGUUUGAAUUGUACUUGCGAGUCAUUUUUGUGUUGCCGUUUAUCUCCGUCUGUAAGUGAACUUCUUACUGGAAAAGAUGACAACUUUUGAAUUUUAUAACAUCUUGGAAGAAUAUUUGUCGUCUGAAAAUUUUAACUCCAUUCGAAUGAAGAGGGAGCGAAAUGAAAUGCGACGUAUGUCUGUGAACUUUAUAAUGGAUGCGUAUAGCUUUUUGAUGCCUGGUGGUAACCAGCCUUCCAUGUGGCUGAACAGAUGCCAGUGUACCCGCAUUCUGAGACACAUCUGGAUGUCCUUUUCUUCUGCUUUUAAGAUUUCCAAUUCAAGAUGAUGUGCAGUUCAUGUUAGAUUUGCUAUUUCUACAGCUACAGUGAAGUAGAAGAGUCUGGUCAUGCUAUGGAGCAGCAGUUAAAGAAGAAGGAAGGAGAGAUGUGUGCCCUGUUGAAGUAGUGGCUGGUCCUCCUGCCUGCACUUCUAGAAUCCUCCAUCUCAACCACUGCUCUGAUCUGCUGUGCCUUUGCCAAGUGAUCACGAGUUUAUUGCAAUGGUGCUCCCAUGCAUCUCCACUGUUUGUUACAUCAACUCAAACUGCCUGUGAUGCCAGAGGGAAACAAAGUACACAAGACGUCCUGAAAUGGAAUUGUUAUUGGACUGAGACGGCUACAAUUAUGUAUGCUGGGAUGUGCAGAGGGGGCUGUGUGGGCUUUGGCUUGUGACCCCCACAGGUUUAUUAUCUCCAGCAUAUUUGAAAGCUGCAAGUUUGUCUUUGUCCCCGGCCAUUUGACCAGGCAAUGUAUUUAUUACAAAGGACAAGGACCCCUCCAUUUGCUUCUUAUUUACUUUUAUAAUGACUGCGAUUUUCUUUGUAACUGUAUAUUUUUGUAGAGCAAUUUGAGCUACACUUGUAAGCAAAGGUGAUAUAAAAAUAUUAUUAGUGAACAAAUGUUAAGGGUCAGAUCAGGAAAAAUGUCAGUUUAAAUAGAACAGAUUUUUUAUGGAAAAUUGCUGGAUAAUAACUCUGACUGAGUAGUAUCUUGUUCAUAAAGCUAAAGUAGCAUUUUUCCUUUUUUGACAAAUUUAAUGAUUUACUUUUACUGUAUUCAAAACUUUGCCUAACAUAUUUUUUAAUACCAAGGUAUAAAAAUCUGCAAAUAUGUUUGUGUUCCCUUUCCCUAAUAGUUUUUAACGCCUCCCCAUUGUUGGCCAUUUUCAUUGUGUGUGUAAUUUUUUUUGACAAACACUGUUCACAGAUAUUUCACUUUUGUUAUUUUUAAACAUACCAUUUAUUUAUUCAAUAAAAAUGAUCUGAAAAAGUGUAUUGUAUUUCCUUUUUUAAAGUUCUAAAAAUGAACUGGCUCUGUAUCAAUAUGGGUGAAUAAAACUAUUCACAUGAAAUGGAUCUGCACACAAACAAUGGUGUGUUGUGUCGAUUAAACUUGUAAGAAAGAAUGUCACUGCACUCUGUUCACAUAGUGUUCAUCAUAAACUGA